rnacentral:misc_RNA from 1 species
UUGAUCCAAGAAAAUGGGUCUCUCAAGUCUUCCAGCCCCAUCUGAAGGAGUACUAUGCUUGCUGUUGGUAAACUAUGCCUUAUCAGUCUCCAUUUUCAAAGGCAUAGUCCGGUCAAUCCUUCGUAUUGUUGGCAUCCGUUUAUCAUCCUUCUCCUCAUCAUCUUCAACCCCCUCAUCAGAUUACCGUGAAGGCCCCACAGAAUCAGUUGAAUUUCGUUUAACUCCAUCAGAUACCUACAUUAAGGAGUUUCGGAGCAGGAGUCCUGCAACGCGAUUUGAUGCAGUGUGUAGCUGUAAACAGCCUGAGCAUGACUGCUCAGUUUGCUUGACUCAAUUUGAGCCAGAAUCAGAGAUCAACUGCUUAUCUUGCGGCCAUCUUUUUCAUAAGGUGUGCUUGGAGAAGUGGUUGGAUUA